rnacentral:siRNA from 1 species
AUUUGUUCGGAAUGCCUUUACA